AGCCUGGGAUAUGGCUCAGUGGUUAUGCGCUCGGGGUUCAAUCCCCCAUACCAGAAAAAAAGAAAUUCACCCAAGCCCAAGAGGUGAAGCCGAAGUCAGCAGCUUACUCCUUGGACCCCAAUGAUCAAGACAAUCCUCCAAGGUCCAUGUGGCACCAAAGGCCAGAACCAGAAAGCUCAAAAUAAAUUGGUGAAUACGAGGAUCCUGGUAGCCUUCAGCCAAGAGGCUUUUUGUGCACCCCAAGCUUUCCCAUAGCGGCUCUUCACGCUGCAGGGGGGACUCUCCCGGUUCCUGAUGCUCUCACAGCCACACAAGCAUCCUGCCAUGAGGCAUUUCCAUACCAAAGUAGAAGUCUCAGGUGAUCCCGUCUGCCUCUCAGUAAGUAACUUUAGGCUGUGGGGUGGGGGGAUUGAACCCCGGGCCUCCCUCCUGCUGGGCCCUUGCAGGGGGCCUCCUCAGCCACGCCUUGCCUGUCUGAAACCACUUAACCCCUGCACCUGGGAUCCAGUGAGAAGAGCAGAGAUAGGGAGAUGGCAGCGUAGGAGCCCCACACAGCCUCCCCCCGUGGCCGGGAAGCUUCGGCUCGGCUCAGAUCAGCGGGGCCGGCUGGUUGUUAGAAACUGCUGGGGUUCCAAGUGUCCCCCACAAAGCCUGGGUGGGAAACUUAAUCCCCAAGGCAACAGUGUGGGGAGCUGGGGCCUGAGGAUUCGGCCGUGAAGGGGGGUGAACACAGGGACGUGGUCACCAUGGAAGCCGGGAGCUGAGCUGUGUCCGUCUCUCCUUCCUCACCGGAUCUUCCCCCCAACUCCUGCCACCUGGCCUUCUGCUGUGGGGUGACACAGCAGGAGGCCCCUCGCCAGACACCCUGGCCUCUUGAUCUCGCCUUCUCAACUUCUAGAACUGUAAGAAAUAAAUUUGUCUUUAUAAACUA